CGUGAAAUUCCGUCGGAAUCUGGGAGGACCAUCUCCUAAGGCUAAAUACUCUCUAGUGACCGAUAGUGAACCAGUACCGUGAGGGAAAGGUGAAAAGCACCCCGGAAGGGGAGUGAAAUAGAACCUGAAACCGUGUGCUUACAAGUAGUCAGAGCCCGUUAAUGGGUGAUGGCGUGCCUUUUGUAGAAUGAACCGGCGAGUUACGAUUUGAUGCAAGGUUAAGCAGUAAAUGUGGAGCCGUAGCGAAAGCGAGUCUGAAUAGGGCGUUUAGUAUUUGGUCGUAGACCCGAAACCAGGUGAUCUACCCUUGGUCAGGUUGAAGUUCAGGUAACACUGAAUGGAGGACCGAACCGACUUACGUUGAAAAGUGAGCGGAUGAACUGAGGGUAGCGGAGAAAUUCCAAUCGAACCUGGACAUAGCUGGUUCUCUCCGAAAUAGCUUUAGGGCUAGCCUCAAGUGAUGAUUAUUGGAGGUAGAGCACUGUUUGGACGAGGGGCCCCUCUCGGGUUACCGAAUUCAGACAAACUCCGAAUGCCAAUUAAUUUAACUUGGGAGUCAGAACAUGGGUGAUAAGGUCCGUGUUCGAAAGGGAAACAGCCCAGACCACCAGCUAAGGUCCCAAAAUAUAUGUUAAGUGGAAAAGGAUGUGGCGUUGCCCAGACAACUAGGAUGUUGGCUUAGAAGCAGCCAUCAUUUAAAGAGUGCGUAAUAGCUCACUAGUCGAGUGACACUGCGCCGAAAAUGUACCGGGGCUAAACAUAUUACCGAAGCUGUGGAUUGUCCUUUGGACAAUGGUAGGAGAGCGUUCUAAGGGCGUUGAAGCAUGAUCGUAAGGACAUGUGGAGCGCUUAGAAGUGAGAAUGCCGGUGUGAGUAGCGAAAGACGGGUGAGAAUCCCGUCCACCGAUUGACUAAGGUUUCCAGAGGAAGGCUCGUCCGCUCUGGGUUAGUCGGGUCCUAAGCUGAGGCCGACAGGCGUAGGCGAUGGAUAACAGGUUGAUAUUCCUGUACCACCUAUAAUCGUUUUAAUCGAUGGGGGGACGCAGUAGGAUAGGCGAAGCGUGCGAUUGGAUUGCACGUCUAAGCAGUAAGGCUGAGUAUUAGGCAAAUCCGGUACUCGUUAAGGCUGAGCUGUGAUGGGGAGAAGACAUUGAGUCUUCGAGUCGUUGAUUUCACACUGCCGAGAAAAGCCUCUAGAUAGAAAAUAGGUGCCCGUACCGCAAACCGACACAGGUAGUCAAGAUGAGAAUUCUAAGGUGAGCGAGCGAACUCUCGUUAAGGAACUCGGCAAAAUGACCCCGUAACUCGGGAGAAGGGGUGCUCUUUAGGGUUAACGCCCAGAAGAGCCGCAGUGAAUAGGCCCAAGCGACUGUUUAUCAAAAACACAGGUCUCUGCUAAACCGUAAGGUGAUGUAUAGGGGCUGACGCCUGCCCGGUGCUGGAAGGUUAAGAGGAGUGGUUAGCUUCUGCGAAGCUACGAAUCGAAGCCCCAGUAAACGGCGGCCGUAACUAUAACGGUCCUAAGGUAGCGAAAUUCCUUGUCGGGUAAGUUCCGACCCGCACGAAAGGCGUAACGAUUUGGGCACUGUCUCAACGAGAGACUCGGUGAAAUCAUAGUACCUGUGAAGAUGCAGGUUACCCGCGACAGGACGGAAAGACCCCGUGGAGCUUUACUGUAGCCUGAUAUUGAAAUUCGGCACAGCUUGUACAGGAUAGGUAGGAGCCUUUGAAACGUGAGCGCUAGCUUACGUGGAGGCGCUGGUGGGAUACUACCCUAGCUGUGUUGGCUUUCUAACCCGCACCACUUAUCGUGGUGGGAGACAGUGUCAGGCGGGCAGUUUGACUGGGGCGGUCGCCUCCUAAAAGGUAACGGAGGCGCUCAAAGGUUCCCUCAGAAUGGUUGGAAAUCAUUCAUAGAGUGUAAAGGCAUAAGGGAGCUUGACUGCGAGACCUACAAGUCGAGCAGGGUCGAAAGACGGACUUAGUGAUCCGGUGGUUCCGCAUGGAAGGGCCAUCGCUCAACGGAUAAAAGCUACCCCGGGGAUAACAGGCUUAUCUCCCCCAAGAGUUCACAUCGACGGGGAGGUUUGGCACCUCGAUGUCGGCUCAUCGCAUCCUGGGGCUGUAGUCGGUCCCAAGGGUUGGGCUGUUCGCCCAUUAAAGCGGUACGCGAGCUGGGUUCAGAACGUCGUGAGACAGUUCGGUCCCUAUCCGUCGUGGGCGUAGGAAAUUUGAGAGGAGCUGUCCUUAGUACGAGAGGACCGGGAUGGACAUACCUCUGGUGUACCAGUUGUCGUGCCAACGGCAUAGCUGGGUAGCUAUGUGUGGACGGGAUAAGUGCUGAAAGCAUCUAAGCAUGAAGCCCCCCUCAAGAUGAGAUUUCCCAACUUCGGUUAUAAGAUCCCUCAAAGAUGAUGAGGUUAAUAGGUUCGAGGUGGAAGCAUGGUGACAUGUGGAGCUGACGAAUACUAAUCGAUCGAAGACUUAAUCAAAA
rnacentral:rRNA from 1 species